rnacentral:rRNA from 1 species
UACGGGGGGAGCAAGCGUUGUUCGGAUUUACUGGGCGUAAAGGGCGCGUAGGCGGCCACCGCAAGUCGACUGUGAAAUCUCCGGGCUUAACCCGGAAAGGUCAGCCGAUACUGCGGGGCUAGAGUGCAGAAGGGGCAACUGGAAUUCUCGGUGUAGCGGUGAAAUGCGUAGAUAUCGAGAGGAACACCUGCGGCGAAGGUGGGUUGCUGGGCUGACACUGACGCUGAGGCGCGAAAGCUAGGGGAGCGAACGGG